rnacentral:ncRNA from 1 species
AAGCAGCCACCCUUUAAAGAGUGCGUAAUAGCUCACUGAUCGAGCGCCCUUGCGCUGAAGAUGAACGGGGCUAAGCGAUCUGCCGAAGCUGUGGGAUGUCAAAAUGCAUCGGUAGGGGAGCGUUCCGCCUUAGAGGGAAGCAACCGGCGAAGGGGGGGGCGGGGGAGGGGGAGGGGGGAGGGUGGGCUGGGGAACGGAAAACUUGGGGAGAAGCCCAAGGCCCCGAAACCG